rnacentral:RNase_P_RNA from 1 species
CUCCGAUGGCAGAUGGUCGCUGGUGUGCAGCAAUGCGCGCUGGAGGAAAGUCCGAACACCACACGGCAGCAUGCCGCGUAGAACACGCGGGCGCCGCGCUCGUAAGCGCGCGGUGACGGAAAGUGUCGCAGAAAGUAUACCGCCGAUCGGCAGCGAUGCUGGUGGGCAAGGUUGAAAAGGCGAGGUAAGAGCUCACCGCUCGCGGAGCGAUCCGCGAGGCAGGAAAAACCCCAUGCGGUGCAAGACAGAACAGAGGGAGGGCAGCCGGUCCGUUGAUCCUCGGGUUUCGUUGCAUCACGGUUCCGCCCCCCAGCGGGAUCGGGCGGCUCACGCGAGUGAGUUGAGAUAAAUGAUCAUCCGCUCGAGCAAUCGAGCGACAGAAUUCGGCUUAUCGCUAUCGAAAUGAA